AGAGUUUGAUCCUGGCUCAGAAUGAACGCUGGCGGCGUGCUUAACACAUGCAAGUCGCACGAGAACGCUUCAGCUUGCUGGAGUAAGUAAAGUGGCGCACGGGUGAGUAACGCGUGGGUAAUCUACCCUCAAAUUGGGGAUAACCCGCCGAAAGGCGGGCUAAUACCGAAUGACAUCUUGAAAACUUAUGUUUUCAGGAUCAAAGGUGGCCUCUACAUGUAAGCUAUUGUUUGGGGAUGAGCCCGCGUACCAUUAGCUUGUUGGUAGGGUAAUGGCCUACCAAGGCUACGAUGGUUAGCUGGUCUGAGAGGAUGAUCAGCCACACUGGAACUGACACACGGUCCAGACUCCUACGGGAGGCAGCAGUGAGGAAUUUUGCGCAAUGGGGGAAACCCUGACGCAGCAACGCCGCGUGAGUGAUGAAGGCUUUCGGGUCGUAAAGCUCUGUCAAGUGGGAAGAACUCAUAUGGUGUUAAUAUCGCCAUAUGCUGACGGUACCAUUGAAGGAAGCACCGGCUAACUCCGUGCCAGCAGCCGCGGUAAUACGGGGGGUGCGAGCGUUAUUCGGAAUUACUGGGCGUAAAGAGCGCGUAGGCGGUCUUUUAAGUCAGGUGUGAAAGCCCGGGGCUCAACCCCGGAAGUGCACUUGAAACUAAGAGACUUGAGUAUGGGAGAGGGAAGUGGAAUUCCUGGUGUAGCGGUGAAAUGCGUAGAUAUCAGGAGGAACAUCAGUGGCGAAGGCGACUUCCUGGACCAAUACUGACGCUGAGGCGCGAAGGCGUGGGGAGCAAACAGGAUUAGAUACCCUGGUAGUCCACGCAGUAAACGGUGAACACUAGGUGUAGCGGGUAUUGACCCCUGCUGUGCCGCAGCAAACGCAUUAAGUGUUCCGCCUGGGGAGUACGGCCGCAAGGUUAAAACUCAAAGGAAUUGACGUGGGCCCGCACAAGCGGUGGAGCAUGUGGUUUAAUUCGACAUACGCGAAGAACCUUACCUAGCCUUGACAUAUAUUAGAACACCCUAGAGAUAGAGUGGUGCCUUCGGGAGCUUUUAUACGGGUGCUGCACGGCUGUCGUCAGCUCGUGUCGUGAGAUGUUGGGUUAAGUCCCGCAACGAGUGCAACCCUCGUCACUAGUUACUAACGGUUCGGCCGAGGACUCUAGUGAGACUGCCUUCGUAAGGAGGAGGAAGGUGAGGACGACGUCAAGUCAUCAUGGCCCUUACGGCUAGGGCAACACACGUGCUACAAUGGCCAGGACAAUGAGACGCGAUACCGCGAGGUGGAGCAAAUCUAUAAACCUGGUCUCAGUUCGGAUUGUAGUCUGCAACUCGACUACAUGAAGCUGGAAUCACUAGUAAUCGUAGAUCAGCUAUGCUACGGUGAAUACGUUCCCGGGUCUUGUACUCACCGCCCGUCACACCAUGGGAGUUGAUUUCACCCGAAGUGGGGAAGCUAAACUGGCUACCCUCCACGGUGGAAUCAGCG
rnacentral:rRNA from 1 species